GGACUACCCGGGUUUCUAAUCCUGUUUGAUCCCCACGCUUUCGCGCCUCAGCGUCAGUUGUGUGCCAGAUGGCCGCCUUCGCCACCGGUGUUCCUCCUAAUAUCUACGAAUUUCACCUCUACAUUAGGAAUUCCGCCAUCCCCUCACACACUCCAGCCGCACAGUUUCAAAGGCAGUUCCGGGGUUAAGCCCCGGGAUUUCACCCCUGACGAGUACGGCCGCCUACGCGCGCUUUACGCCCAGUAAUUCCGAACAACGCUAGCACCCUUCGUAUUACCGCGGCGGCUGGCAC
rnacentral:rRNA from 1 species